rnacentral:rRNA from 1 species
UGGGGAAUAUUGGACAAUGGGCGAAAGCCUGAUCCAGCAAUGCCGCGUGUGUGAAGAAGGCCUUCGGGUUGUAAAGCACUUUCAGUAGGGAAGAAAAGCAGAGGGCUAAUACCUCUCUGUCAUGACAUUACCUACAGAAGAAGCACCGGCUAACUCCGUGCCAGCAGCCGCGGUAAUACGGAGGGUGCGAGCGUUAAUCGGAAUUACUGGGCGUAAAGGGCGCGUAGGCGGUUCGAUUAGUCGGGUGUGAAAGCCCUGGGCUUAACCUGGGAAUUGCAUUCGAUACUGUCGAACUAGAGUGCGGUAGAGGGAAGCGGAAUUUCCGGUGUAGCGGUGAAAUGCGUAGAUAUCGGAAGGAACACCAGUGGCGAAGGCGGCUUCCUGGAUCGACACUGACGCUGAGGCGCGAAAGCGUGGGGAGCAAACAGGAUUAGAUACCCCCGUAGUCC